rnacentral:rRNA from 1 species
CCUACGGGGGGCUGCAGUGGGGAAUAUUGGACAAUGGGCGAAAGCCUGAUCCAGCCAUGCCGCGUGUGUGAAGAAGGCCUUCGGGUUGUAAAGCACUUUCAGUGGGGAAGAAAGCCUUGGGGCUAAUACCCUCGAGGAAGGACAUCACCCACAGAAGAAGCACCGGCUAACUCCGUGCCAGCAGCCGCGGUAAUACGGAGGGUGCGAGCGUUAAUCGGAAUUACUGGGCGUAAAGCGCGCGUAGGCGGUCUGAUAAGCCGGUUGUGAAAGCCCCGGGCUCAACCUGGGAACGGCAUCCGGAACUGUCAGGCUAGAGUGCAGGAGAGGAAGGUAGAAUUCCCGGUGUAGCGGUGAAAUGCGUAGAGAUCGGGAGGAAUACCAGUGGCGAAGGCGGCCUUCUGGACUGACACUGACGCUGAGGUGCGAAAGCGUGGGUAGCAAACAGGAUUAGAUACCCCCAGUAGUC